rnacentral:rRNA from 1 species
AUGGAAGCAGCAGCUCCGUCGGCCGCACUGAGGGUCUACGGGCCGAGCAACUUCAGGGACGACGAGCUCGUCUUCAACAGCGGGGAGAUAGUGAGGCUACAGUCGGAGCUUCUUGCCAAGAUCCAGAGCUGCUACGGGCGGGUGAGACAGAUCCCCGGGGUCUUCGACGCCGGCUUCUGCUUCGGCCUCCUGGACCCCGUCUCCAACAUCGUCGCCGGCGCCUCCAUCGCCCGCGCCGCCGUCGAUUCCAAGGAGGAGGAGCGUUCUCUCCCGGGGGCGCGGCUGGGCGAGCCAGAUCUGAUCGGGGACAUGAACCGCCGGUCGUUCCACGGCCUCGUCGCCUUCCUGACCGCCCUCUUCCCCCACCUCACCAACGCCAUGGCCAUCUGGUACCUCAACGAGGCCCGGCUGGAUCCCCUCGUCGCCGCCCACCUCGUCGUCAAUCGCCGCGGCAUGGAGCUGAGCUUCGGCUUCGCGUCCGACACCACCGCGGCCGCCGUCGAGACCGCCCUCAGAUGCGCCGCGGCCUCCGCCCAGCACCCCAAUCCCAGCCAGUUCGCGCUAGGGUGGAAGUUGCUUUCGCAUUCUGAUCUCAACAAUGUCGCCGCCGUGCUUCCAUCCCUCAGCCCACCUAGAGUUUUCAGCCUGGAGAAAUCAUGGGAGCUCGCCUCUGCUCGCCUCCUCAACUUCAGUCCAGACCUGUCUCCCAUCGUCUUGGAGAAGAAGGUGUUUCUUGAGCGGGCAGCCGUCUGGCGUAUGCUUCUCACCACCAUCCAUGGAUACUAUCUUCAGGCACUGGCCAGGCUGCCCAAGGACAAGCUGCAGUCUCACUACCACCACAGCUUGCUUCAGGCCGGGCACUGCUACGGCCCGCUGGAUCCGGUCGGCAACAUCAUCCUCAACACCAUCUGGUAUAACCGAGCCUACCCUCCAACAAAAAAUGUCGCGAUAUCGGCGAUCAGCACCAGAGGCCUUCUGCAGAUUGCUGUCCGGUCCCUAUAUGGUCUUGUAUCCUUUCUGUGCACCCGGUGUGCCACGACACACCUCAGGCCUGACGAAGCAAUUCAACGACUGCAGGCUGUCGGUGCUGAUCUCCGAUUCGCUGAUCCCAACCUCCUCCUUGAUGAUGAUAAAAAUGAUGAUGAUAUGGUGGUAUCUGCCACUGUCGAACAAGCCUACACUGCUGCGGCAGCAGCAGCAAGACACCCUGAGCCUCAUCACCAGGUAGAGCUUCUCAGGCCGUCUAAUUCAGUGUUGCGGAUGGCCUCCGACCGUCUCAAAGGUGAUGCCAUGCUCUCCCAUGAGGAUGCUGAGCACCUCUCUGAAUCCUUGAUGCAUUCCUGCAUGUUAUUAUCAGAACACCAGCAGCAGCCAGAAACAGAGAUCAAGGUUCUAGACCGGUGGGCACACAUAAGGGUGCAACAUCGGAUUAACAAGUUCUGGGACCAGCAUGCUAGGCUCGUCAGCAUGGUGAAAUCUGCAAUGGACUCAUACAGCAAUGAGCUUGGGGUACCAAGUUACAAGCUUCAUGUUAUCUGCGGUGCCAAUGAGUAUGUUGAUGGUCCUGUGUGCACAAGGCCUGUCAAAGGCUACUACCGUUGCUCUCACAUCAACUUCCUUGCUGCCCAAUCUGCUGCUACACCUCCGACGCUUUUCUUUGCUGAAUGUGCCAAUGAUGGCACCGAAGUGCGCGUGUGCUGCCCUGUGCGUGUGCUGCCUCCCGGCACUGAACAAGUCCGUUGCAUGUACUGUGAGUACCAUGGGAGUAGGAUUGUACACCCAACAAGGGACAGCUUCCGUGGGCGCGACAUCGAGUUUGAGAAGAUGCUGUGUGGAGAAGGAGUGUAUUCAAAGUCAUUCACCAACAAUGGGAUCAUCGCACACAGCGGCGAGGCAAGUCGCUGUGCAGGUGCUGUGGUUGACGACUGCAUCUACGACGUCUACCGACUUGACGAUACGCCUAUAAAGGCAGAGGACUUUGUACGCAUGUCAGAUGCUAAUGUGGUGUUUGACUGA